CCGAUCAAGGAAUCGAUCGUGUCUCGUGAGAUGACUAGAAGGUACAUGACUGAUAUGAUCACUUACGCUGAGACUGAUGUCGUCGUCGUUGGUGCUGGAUCUGCUGGUUUGUCUUGUGCUUAUGAGAUUAGUAAGAACCCUAAUGUUCAAGUUGCGAUUAUUGAGCAAUCUGUUAGUCCUGGUGGUGGCGCUUGGCUCGGUGGUCAGCUUUUCUCCGCCAUGGUAAGAUUUAGAUUGUUUUUUUGCAUGUGCGAUUGGUUCUGUUUUAAUGGAGGAUUUAGGUCUAGACUUAAUCACUGUGACUAUCAAUCUCAAUUUUGGGUUUGAUUGUUGUGUUUAUGGCAGAUUGUUCGCAAACCAGCUCACUUGUUCCUUGAUGAGAUUGGUGUGGCUUACGAUGAGCAAGACAACUACGUUGUGGUUAAACACGCGGCUCUGUUCACGUCUACCAUCAUGAGCAAGCUUUUGGCUCGUCCUAAUGUGAAGCUCUUCAACGCUGUGGCGGCUGAGGAUUUGAUUGUGAAAGGAAACAGAGUUGGUGGUGUGGUGACUAACUGGGCUCUUGUGGCUCAGAACCAUGACACACAGUCUUGCAUGGACCCCAAUGUUAUGGAGGCGAAGAUUGUGGUUAGCUCGUGUGGUCAUGAUGGUCCUUUUGGAGCUACUGGUGUUAAGAGGUUGAAGAGUAUUGGGAUGAUUGAUCAUGUUCCUGGGAUGAAGGCUUUGGACAUGAACACUGCUGAAGACGCUAUAGUGAGGUUGACCAGAGAGGUUGUUCCUGGUAUGAUUGUUACCGGUAUGGAAGUUGCUGAGAUCGAUGGUGCACCGAGAAUGGUGAGUCUUUUUCUAUUUUCUUGACGGAUUUUUGAGUUGAUAUCAAUAGUUCUUGAAGAUCAUGUCCUGAGUGAGUUUGUUGUGGUGUAG
rnacentral:lncRNA from 1 species